rnacentral:rRNA from 1 species
AGUGAACGCUGGCGGUAGGCCUAACACAUGCAAGUCGAACGGCAGCACAGUAAGAGCUUGCUCUUACGGGUGGCGAGUGGCGGACGGGUGAGGAAUACAUCGGAAUCUACUUUUUCGUGGGGGAUAACGUAGGGAAACUUACGCUAAUACCGCAUACGACCUACGGGUGAAAGCAGGGGAUCUUCGGACCUUGCGCGAUUGAAUGAGCCGAUGUCGGAUUAGCUAGUUGGCGGGGUAAAGGCCCACCAAGGCGACGAUCCGUAGCUGGUCUGAGAGGAUGAUCAGCCACACUGGAACUGAGACACGGUCCAGACGCCUACGGGAGGCAGCAGUGGGGAAUAUUGGACAAUGGGCGCAAGCCUGAUCCAGCCAUACCGCGUGGGUGAAGAAGGCCUUCGGGUUGUAAAGCCCUUUUGUUGGGAAAGAAAAGCGGCAGGUUAAUACCCCGCUGUUCUGACGGUACCCAAAGAAUAAGCACCGGCUAACUUCGU